rnacentral:tRNA from 1 species
GUCGGUUGCGGAAGGUUCGCGUCGGCCUCCGGAGCCGAAGGUUGCAGGUUCGAGCCCUGCCGGGGACG